rnacentral:rRNA from 1 species
AUUGAACGCUGGCGGCAUGCCUUACACAUGCAAGUCGAACGGCAGCACGGGUGCUUGCACCUGGUGUCGAGUGGCGAACGGGUGAGUAAUACAUCGGAACAGGUCCUGUAGUGGGGGAUAGCCCGUCGAAAGCCGGAUUAAUAGCGCAUACUAUCCACGGAUGAAAGCGGGGGACCUUCGGUCCUCGCGCCAUCGGGUUGGCGGAUGGCUGAUCAGCUAGUUGGUGGGGUAAAGGCCUACCAAGGCGACGAUCAGUAGCUGGUCUGUGAGGACGACCGGCCCCACUGGGACUGAGACACGGCCCCGACUCCUACGGGAGGCAGCAGUGGGGAAUUUUGGACAAUGGGCGAAAGCCUGAUCCAGCAGUGCCGCGUGUGUGAAGAAGGCCUUCGGGUUGUAAAGCACUUUUGUCCGGAAAGAAAUCCUUGGCCCUAAUACGGUCGGGGGAUGACGGUACCGGAAGAAUAAGCACCGGCUAACUACGUG